AUUGAACGCUGGCGGAAUGCUUUACACAUGCAAGUCGAACGGCAGCACGGACUUCGGUCUGGUGGCGAGUGGCGAACGGGUGAGUAAUACAUCGGAACGUGCCCAGUCGUGGGGGAUAAUGUAGCGAAAGCUACGCUAAUACCGCAUACGAUCUAAGGAUGAAAGCGGGGGAUCGCAAGACCUCGCGCGAUUGGAGCGGCCGAUGGCAGAUUAGGUAGUUGGUGGGGUAAAGGCUCACCAAGCCGACGAUCUGUAGCUGGUCUGAGAGGACGACCAGCCACACUGGGACUGAGACACGGCCCAGACUCCUACGGGAGGCAGCAGUGGGGAAUUUUGGACAAUGGGCGCAAGCCUGAUCCAGCCAUUCCGCGUGCAGGAUGAAGGCCCUCGGGUUGUAAACUGCUUUUGUACGGAACGAAAAGGCUCUGGUUAAUACCUGGGGCUAAUGACGGUACCGUAAGAAUAAGCACCGGCUAACUACGUGCCAGCAGCCGCAGUAA
rnacentral:rRNA from 1 species